rnacentral:rRNA from 11 species
GCCUGCAGCCAAACCAGAGCUGCCUCUGUGAUCUUGUCAGAUUUCACAAGGUAAGCAGUGUCAGGCCUGGUUAGUAUAGAAAUGGGAGACCUGGGAGUGGGGAGGAAUAUCCUGAUGUUGCGGGAC